rnacentral:lncRNA from 1 species
CAGCAGCCGAGCCCCGGCAGCCGUGAACUUGGCGACUUGCUCCUGCGGCCCGGCCGCUGUCAUGUAGUCGCCGGCGGCGCUCCCCGCAGCUCGGGAGCCGCAGCGCGAUCCAGACACAGCGGAGCUGCCUGGGCUUCUCCGGGAGGCGCCGAGCGCGCCGCCACCCCUCGGGCGGCACUUUGGGCCGAAGAGGGACAUGGGGGAGAAAGUUUCCGAGGCGCCGGAGCCCGUGCCCCGGGGCUGCAGCGGCCUCGGCACCCGGACCCUAGGCUCGCCGGCGGCAGCCGUGUCCUCCGAGGGCGCUUCCUCAGCGGAGUCAUCCUCUGGCUCGGAAACUCUGUCGGAGGAAGGGGAGCCCGGCCGCUUCUCCUGCAGGUCGCAGCCGCCGCGGCCG